AGGACGAACGCUGGCGGCGUGCUUAACACAUGCAAGUCGAGCGGAAAGGCCCUUCGGGGUACUCGAGCGGCGAACGGGUGAGUAACACGUGAGCAAUCUGCCCUUAGCUUCGGGAUAGCCCCGGGAAACCGGGAUUAAAUACCGAAUACGACCUCGGCCGACAUCGGCCUUGGUGGAAAGUUUUUCGGCUAGGGAUGAACUCGCGGCCUAUCAGCUUGUUGGUGGGGUAAUAGCCUACCAAGGCGACGACGGGUAG
rnacentral:rRNA from 1 species